GACGAACGCUGGCGGCGUGCCUAAUACAUGCAAGUCGAGCGCAGGAGGCCGUUCCGAUCCCUCCGGGGGGACGACGGCGGAAUGAGCGGCGGACGGGUGAGUAACACGUAAAGAACCUGCCCAUAGGUCUGGGAUAACCACGAGAAAUCGGGGCUAAUACCGGAUGUGUCAUCGGACCGCAUGGUCCGCUGAUGAAAGGCGCUUCGGCGUCGCCCAUGGAUGGCUUUGCGGUGCAUUAGCUAGUUGGUGGGGUAAUGGCCCACCAAGGCGACGACGCAUAGCCGACCUGAGAGGGUGAUCGGCCACACUGGGACUGAGACACGGCCCAGACUCCUACGGGAGGCAGCAGUAGGGAAUCUUCCACAAUGGACGAAAGUCUGAUGGAGCAACGCCGCGUGAACGAUGAAGGCUUUCGGGUCGUAAAGUUCUGUUGUAAGGGAAGAACAAGUGCCGCAGGCAAUGGCGGCACCUUGACGGUACCUUGCGAGAAAGCCACGGCUAACUACGUGCCAGCCGCCGCCGUAA
rnacentral:rRNA from 1 species